GACGAACGCUGGCGGCGUGCUUAACACAUGCAAGUCGAACGGAAAGGCCCUGCUUUUGUGGGGUGCUCGAGUGGCGAACGGGUGAGUAACACGUGAGUAACCUGCCCUUGACUUUGGGAUAACUUCAGGAAACUGGGGCUAAUACCGGAUAGGAGCUCCUGCUGCAUGGUGGGGGUUGGAAAGAUUCGGCGGUUGGGGAUGGACUCGCGGCUUAUCAGCUUGUUGGUGGGGUAGUGGCUUACCAAGGCUUUGACGGGUAGCCGGCCUGAGAGGGUGACCGGCCACAUUGGGACUGAGAUACGGCCCAGACUCCUACGGGAGGCAGAAGUGGGGAAUAUUGCACAAUGGGCGGAAGCCUGAUGCAGCAACGCCGCGUGCGGGAUGACGGCCUUCGGGUUGUAAACCGCUUUCGCCUGUGACGAAGCGUGAGUGACGGUAAUGGGUAAAGAAGCACCGGCUAACUACGUG
rnacentral:rRNA from 1 species